CACGUGUCCCUUCUCAACGGACUCGAAACGCACGAUUUAUAUUCCUACAAAACCCGUGUGCCCAAAAAUAAUAAUAACCAUUUGGAUUCCGUCGAAUAAAAACAACGCAACUUCCACUCUCACCCGUUUCGUGUCACCUUUUGGCGGUUUUAACCUUUUUCAGUUUUCUGCAUUCAUUCGUUCCCUUUUCACUCUCACUCUCUCUCUCUCUCUCUCUCUCUCUCUCUCUCUCUCUCUCUCUCUUCAAUUCAUCAUACUUUGAGGUCACUGUGACUGAUUUUGUGGUUUUAAGAUUAAAAAAGUAUUGGAUGGAAUAAGGAAUGGACUAAUUUAUGAUGGUGUGUAGUUGUGGCAGUGGCAUGGUAGGUGUGGAUUAGCUAGUAUGGUAUGGUUUUCCAAUGUGAUUUUUUCUUGGUGGAGUUCUUGGCCAUUGGACCGUAAUGUGGCUUGUUUAUGCUAUUUGGCCUUUUGGUUUCUCUUAAGGAUGUAUGAAUGGGCUUUUUCGUGUUUAUCGUUUUCAAGUCCGAGAGGUGUUUGGGAAUUAUUUUAGAAGUAGAAUUGACAAGCUUUUGGACUGGUUCUAAUAUAUGGUCUUUCUGGUGACAUCCACUCUUAAUCUGAAGAAAUAAUUUUGCCUUAUCACUUUCAGACUAGAUUAUCUGCAUGAGUGCAUAUAAUUUAGAAUUAAUAAGAAAUAAUUAUUGCGUUCGAGAUAUUAUUGAUUAGCGAGUCUGAACCUAUGUAAUUAUUGUGUUCGAGAAUCAAGAUUCAGACCAGAUUUUCUGGUACAUUGAACUUAGUUGUUCAUGUAAUUUAACUUUACAGAAACAGGUGUACUGUUGUCACACCACAUGUUAUUUCCAAGAUGACCUUUCAUUUACAAUAUAUAUGAAUGUUGUACUUGUGCUCCUGUUCUUAUGUUAACGAACAUGCAUUUAUCAUCUCUGUGGAUGUGUGAAUAUAAACGAUGAAAAAAGUAAGCUGAUGCACAUUGAAGUUGUAGGAUAAUAAUCAAGAGAACGUGAGAUGGAUGGGAAAGAAUAUUUGCGGAGGCAUUCCAAUAUGAAAUGCCAACGGGUUCAGGUGGAUGAAUCAUUUGCACCUGUUCUUAAAUAUGAAGAAAUGGAAGUUGAGCAUUUACUUGAAGAACAUAGAAAUGGUCAUAUUUCAAUGGAUGGUAUGUUGCAUUUUAAUGAGGAAAGUGUAGGGGAAUGCAUUGUGAAUUUUUUUCAUGUAGAUUUGAAAUCAAGUACUAUUACUCAAAUAACCUAAACUAAAGCUGUAUCCUCUGAUGUAUUACUUGAAUUCCAUAUAUUAGCUUAUCAGGAAAUGGAGCCUUGCCAUGAGUAUUUUGGAUAGAAACCUUUUUUUAAUGUUUAUAUGUAUUUUGAAAUAAAUGAGGAAGUCAAAUGUUGUGGCGAAAGAAUGAAAGAAGAUAUCAAACUGUAUAAGAACCUGAGUAUCUUUGACAGAGUUUGGAAUAAAUGGUGCUUCUUCAAUGUUUUUGGUUCCUUGCAGAGAGAUUUACAUGCUUUGCUGCAUGUUUAUUUCUUUAGUUCGUGAGGAUUACUUAUCCUCUUGCUAUUGUACUACUCUCUUCUCUCUCUCUCUCUCUCUAUAUAUAUAUAUAUGUGUGUGUGUGUGUUUAUAUUCUUCUUUUAUUGAAAAAAAUAAAAUAGUGUUGCAUCUUCACUGAUUAGAAAUCAAAUUUUUAACUCUAUAUAUGAUAUAUUAUCUUGGAUUAGAUAAUUUUUGGUUGUUAUUUUCCCAGUUACUUCUGAAGUGCCAUCUGAUAUUAGUGUAUUACAUUCAGCAGGCAGUUUGGAUUCUCAUACCACUUUGAAUGGCCUGGAUGAUUUGGGACUGGAGGUAUUGGUUUUGUCUAUGUUCGGCACUUCCAGUUAUUACUGGGAAGAUGUUGAAGCUAUAGUGUACAUAUUUUUCUAUUUAAAAUGCUUGUUAUUGGUUGCUUGUUGUUUGAGUCUAAUCUUCAGGUUUAUAUUGUCUCUUCUAAUGUCAAUUGCUUGAUACACCCUAUUACAUAUUGCUAAAAUUGUUUGAAUUCUUAUUUUGUCGGGAUCUUUAAUAAAUAUAUUCUUAGGUGCUUGAUGGAAUUCUGGAUGAUGUUGAAAUCAAUGAUCUUGAUGGAAUGGAUGCUUUCUCUGGUGCAUGUGACGAGUACUUUUUGGAUUGUGAUUUUGUCAACAAUCCUGAGGUACUAGGUUAUGGUCUUUCUAAAGGUUCACUUUUGCAAAAUUCAAGUUCGGAAAGCCAUUCUUCGGGAUUUAGUGGAAGUAGCAUUGUUGGUGGGGUAUCAGAAUCAACAAAAGUACCCUCUGCACAACCUGAAUGCAAAAAUGACUCUCCACAUGGUACAACAACCUAUGAAUCCUGCAAUGAAUUGAAUAAUGAUCAUCACCCUUUAGCUGGUGGUAUAUUAUCUUUUGAGAACGAAAAGGAUGCUGUUGAAGAAUGCCAGCCUACUGCACUAAGAGAGAAGAGAUUCCGCAAGCCUACAAAGAGGUAUAUUGAAGAGUUUUCAAAUUUGAGGUCAAAGGAAAAGGUACCGACUUCUGCUACAAAAAAUAGUGAUGUGACACUUCCUGUGUUAAAAUUUUGUCGGGGACGCCCAAAGAAAAAGGUAUUAUUUUCAUUGGGAAGUGUUUCAGUCUUCUGUCGAUUUUCUUUAGUAUAUGAAGAUCCUUUCUGCAUAACCUCUCCUUUGGGAUAAGAGGGAGAGAGUCUUCUUUGGCUUGAUUUGUAUCAUAGUGCAUAUUAUUAUUUUAAGAUUAUUUUAAUUUACACACUUUCUUAUGUUUUCAUAUAUACUUAUGUUUUCAUAUAUACUUAUGUAUGAGCUUGAGUAUGAAUCUUUGAUGAUUAUGUGACCCAUGUAUAAGUUUUAUUUGCCAACUUGUUCUUUGCUAAAUUUUACUCUACCGACUCUUAAAUUAAGUUUGAAGUUUGUUUUCUUCAUGGUGCUUCCCUUGCUUCUUACUCCAUGCAGGGUUUAUUUUAUCUGUGCACUCUGUUUUCAAAUUGCAGGAUCAUUUCUCACCUUUAGUAUGGUAGAAAAUUUAUAUUCAAAUUUUUUAAUACUGAAGCAUGAUAUUCAUGUGUAAUUCAUUUUUCAGUCCUUAAGAUCUAUGGCCGUCUUUAUACAUGACGAAGUUACCUCAUGUUAGUGGUAAAAGUGUAUUUCUAGAUGAUAACUGCAUGUUAAUAUAAUUGCUAUGCAUGAUUAAUUAGUUUCAAAAUGUAUAGCGCCCUCCUUCGUUAAUAAGAAAAAUACUUUGUGUAGAAACUUGAAAAUGACAAGGAGUCGCUUAGCUUGGAGUCUGAGGAUGAACCCAAAAGGAAACUUGAAAAUGACAAGGAGCCAAUAAGCUCGGAGUCUGAGGAUGAACC
rnacentral:lncRNA from 1 species